GAUGAACGCUGGCGGCGUGCUUAACACAUGCAAGUCGAACGGAAAGGCCCAAGCUUGCUUGGGUACUCGAGUGGCGAACGGGUGAGUAACACGUGGGUGAUCUGCCCUGCACUUCGGGAUAAGCCUGGGAAACUGGGUCUAAUACCGGAUAGGACCACAUUUUGGAUGGUGUGGUGGAAAGUUUUUCGGUGUGGGAUGAGCUCGCGGCCUAUCAGCUUGUUGGUGGGGUAAUGGCCUACCAAGGCGUCGACGGGUAGCCGGCCUGAGAGGGUGUACGGCCACAUUGGGACUGAGAUACGGCCCAGACUCCUACGGGAGGCAACAGUGGGGAAUAUUGCACAAUGGGCGCAAGCCUGAUGCAGCGACGUCGCGUGGGGGAUGACGGCCUUCGGGUUGUAAACUCCUUUCGCUAGGGACGAAGCGUUAUGUGACGGUACCUGGAGAAGAAGCACCGGCUAACUACGUG
rnacentral:rRNA from 1 species